rnacentral:rRNA from 1 species
AUACGGAGGGUGCAAGCGUUACUCGGAAUCACUGGGCGUAAAGCGCGCGCAGGCGGGCUGAUAAGUUGGAUGUGAAAGCCUACGGCUCAACCGUAGAACUGCAUCCAAAACUGUCAGUCUUGAGUGUGGGAGAGGAAGAUGGAAUUAGUUGUGUAGGGGUAAAAUCCGUAGAGAUAACUAGGAAUACCAAAAGCGAAGGCAAUCUUCUGGAACACUACUGACGCUGAGGCGCGAAGGCGUGGGGAGCAAACAGGAUUAGAAACCCCAGUAGUCC